GAUGAACGCUGGCGGCGUGCCUAAUACAUGCAAGUCGAGCGAACAGACGAGGAGCUUGCUCCUCUGACGUUAGCGGCGGACGGGUGAGUAACACGUGGAUAGCCUACCUAUAAGACUGGGAUAACUUCGGGAAACCGGAGCUAAUACCGGAUAAUAUGUUGAACCGCAUGGUUCAAUAGUGAAAGACGGUUUUGCUGUCACUUAUAGAUGGAUCCGCGCCGCAUUAGCUAGUUGGUAAGGUAACGGCUUACCAAGGCAACGAUGCGUAGCCGACCUGAGAGUGUGAUCGGCCACACUGGAACUGAGACACGGUCCAGACUCCUACGGGAGGCAGCAGUAGGGAAUCUUCCGCAAUGGGCGAAAGCCUGACGGAGCAACGCCGCGUGAGUGAUGAAGGUCUUCGGAUCGUAAAACUCUGUUAUUAGGGAAGAACAAAUGUGUAAGUAACUAUGCACGUCUUGACGGUACCUAAUCAGAAAGCCACGGCUAACUACGU
rnacentral:rRNA from 1 species